rnacentral:rRNA from 1 species
AGCAGCCGCCACGGUAAUACGUAGGUCCCGAGCGUUGUCCGGAUUUAUUGGGCGUAAAGCGAGCGCAGGCGGUUAGAUAAGUCUGAAGUUAAAGGCUGUGGCUUAACCAUAGUACGCUUUGGAAACUGUUUAACUUGAGUGCAGAAGGGGAGAGUGGAAUUCCAUGUGUAGCGGAGAAAUGCGUAGAUAUAUGGAGGAACACCGGUGGCGAAAGUGGCUCUCUGGUCUGUAACUGACGCUGAGGCUCGAAAGCGUGGGGAGCAAACAGGAUUAGAUACCCCCGUAGUCCCUGUCUCUUAUACA